rnacentral:rRNA from 1 species
UACGUAGGGACCAAGCGUUGUUCGGAUUUACUGGGCGUAAAGGGCGCGUAGGCGGUGCGGUAAGUCACUUGUGAAAUCUCUGAGCUUAACUCAGGACGGCCAAGUGAUACUGCAGUACUAGAGUGCGGAAGGGGCAAUCGGAAUUCUUGGUGUAGCGGUGAAAUGCGUAGAUAUCAAGAGGAACACCUGAGGUGAAGACGGGUUGCUGGGCCGACACUGACGCUGAUGCGCGAAAGCCAGGGGAGCAAACGGG